rnacentral:lncRNA from 1 species
CCACAACGGGAACUCCAUUCUCUAUUUUUUUUUACUAACAUAUAAGUAAAGAUUCUAAGCUCUUGAUUUUGAAUGUAUAGCUUUGAAUGUUUUUGUGUUUGAAUUUAAUGUUAUCUUCUAAUAUUAUUGUGAAGUGAUAUAACAAAAUUUGUUCACCAGUGCUCUGAUAAUACAUAGCAUUUUAACAGUUGGAAAACUAGGAGAAAAAGCAAUUUUUGAUUAAUGUGCAAUUAUAUUUUUAUGUAAAUCAAUGUAUUUCCAUUAUGCAUGUAGAAUGAUGAUAUUUCAGACAGAAUUGAUUUUGUGAAUUAAAAAUCUAGCUGCAGUAUUCCUUAAAGUUCAGUUGACUUUUGUUUGUCUAUAUUUUAAUCAAUACUAAAAGCAGUGUUAGUCAAUACUAAAAAGUGAUAAGCAGACUUUUCCAGUUUAAACAGUAACAUGAAAUUCUAGCAAGUAGUGACAUUCAAGUAAAAUUUAAUAAAAUGAUAGUGAUGACAAUGCAAAGGCAGCAAUGGCAUAUUCAAGAUAAAAUUUAACUCAAAUCUUUCAAAUGCAGGGUGAAAUUGGUGAACCAGGACAAAAAGGCAGCAAAGGUGACAAAGGAGAAAACGGUCCUCCCGGUCCCCCAGGUCUUCAAGGCCCAGUUGGUGCCCCUGGAAUUGCUGUAAGUAUUUGUCUUUGUUCAGCAAAUCUAAAUCCUCACCAUCCUCUCAUUAAAUUUAUGAACUGCCACAUAACCAGUCGAUUUCAUGUGGUCAUAAGUUUGUUUGGAUGCUUAACAUUGAUUCAAGUUUAAAUUAUCUAAUAUCCAAGCUGAUCUUUAUAAACAAAAAACACUGUGACUUCAGUGAAAAUAUAUAAUAAGCCAUUGAGAAGUGCUUAAUUUGUAGGAGAUUCUGAACAUUGUUUUUCCCUUAUUUGAUAGCUUUACCUCACUUGAUAUACAUGAGAAAAUCAAAAUUAGUCAUAUUCCGGAAUCAAAUAAUGUAAGCUGAACAAAAAAUGGUGUGUUUGCAGCAGAUAAUGGAAUUUUUUUUU